GUGGGGAAUAUUGGACAAUGGGCGAAAGCCUGAUCCAGCCAUGCCGCGUGAGUGAUGAAGGCCCUAGGGUUGUAAAGCUCUUUCAACGGUGAAGAUAAUGACGGUAACCGUAGAAGAAGCCCCGGCUAACUUCGUGCCAGCAGCCGCGGUAAUACGAAGGGGGCUAGCGUUGUUCGGAAUUACUGGGCGUAAAGCGCACGUAGGCGGAUACUUAAGUCAGGGGUGAAAUCCCGGGGCUCAACCCCGGAACUGCCUUUGAUACUGGGUAUCUCGAGUCCGGAAGAGGUGAGUGGAAUUCCGAGUGUAGAGGUGAAAUUCGUAGAUAUUCGGAGGAACACCAGUGGCGAAGGCGGCUCACUGGUCCGGUACUGACGCUGAGGUGCGAAAGCGUGGGGAGCAAAC
rnacentral:rRNA from 1 species